rnacentral:SRP_RNA from 1 species
AAGCUGCCGGUGUUGGCCGCCCGGCCCAGACGUCCCACUAGAACUUCUUCCGAUCUGAGAGAUUUUAUCGUCUCGCAGGUCACGUGGUCGACUUGUCCCACCGUUUCAAAAUUGUUGCGGGUCUUUCCUGUAUGGUGGCGUGACUGCGCGAGAAAUCCGCGGUUCGAGUCCAACUGGUAACGAUUUAGCAAAUUUUCCCAUCUCGCAUGGGAAAGCCCGCUAAUUAGUGUUUACUGUUGAAGGGGAGUCUCAUCCAGCACAACGAACACUGCCCGUGACGAGGUGGUGUGGAUUGCAAGUCCCAUGUAUAAGGAGUACGUUUGGAUCCAGAUGUAUCAGCUAGCCUGACCAAUUUU